rnacentral:lncRNA from 1 species
UACUUAUGCCUUGCAAGCUCUUACAACUUGGGUCUAGCAUUCGGGAUUACGACUGGAUAAUCCAUCCAGGGUAAUCUUUUUCUUCAAAUUUAUUUAAGAAAAGGGGUUGAAUAUUAUGUUUGAUUUGUGAAAUGAUUUAAAAUGAAUUGUAUUUAUUUGGAAAUGAAUCUUGAAAUUAUGGAAAGUUGGAAUUGAUUUUGAAAUCGAAUGAAAUGUUAGUGAAAUUGAAUUUGCGAGAAACAUGCA